AACGAACGCUGGCGGCAUGCCUAACACAUGCAAGUCGAACGAGACCUUCGGGUCUAGUGGCGCACGGGUGCGUAACGCGUGGGAACCUGCCCUUAGGUUCGGAAUCACUCCCCGUAAGGUGUGCUAAUACCGGUUAAUGUCUUCCGACCAAAGAUUUAUGGCCUUUGGAUGGGCCCGCGUUGGAUUAGCUAGUUGGUAGGGUAAAAGCCUACCAAGGCGACGAUCCAUAGCUGGUCUGAGAGGAUGAGCAGCCACACUGGGACUGAGACACGGCCCAGACUACUACGGGAGGGAGCAGUGGGGAAUAUUGGACAAUGGGCGAAAGCCUGAUACAGCAAUGCCGCGUGAGUGAGGAAGGCCUUAGGGUUGUAAAGCUCUUUUACACGGGAUGAUAAUGACAGUACCGGGAGAAUAAGCUCCGGCUAACUCCGUG
rnacentral:rRNA from 1 species